rnacentral:rRNA from 1 species
CAGUUGCCAGCUCGUCCUCCGGGAUGGUGGGGACACUGUUGGGACCGCCUCUGCUAAAGAGGAGGAAGGAAUGGGCAACGGUAGGUCAGCAUGCCCCGAAUUAUCUGGGCUACACGCGGGCUACAAUGGGUGGGACAAUGGGUAUCGACACCGAAAGGUGAAGGCAAUCUCCUAAACCCAUCCGUAGUUCGGAUUGUGGGCUGCAACUCGCCCACAUGAAGCUGGAAUCUGUAGUAAUCGUGUCUCAAAAUGGCACGGUGAAUAUGUCCCUGCUCCUU